GGCCCCGGCCGGGCUGUGCGGGCCGGUGGGUGUGGGGGCGUGAGGCCGUGCGGGCCAGGGAAGCAAAGAGCCUGUUCCGCGGCCGAGGAUCUGCGAACGCGCGGGACUGGGGAAGGAUUCACCAUUUCAACUCAACAUGAGCACUGCAACCCUCUGUAACCCGUAUGACCCAGCGCCAGAUCCGGACGCCUCUUGAACACCUCCAGGGAUGAUGACUCCACUAUCUCCCUGGGCAACCUGUUCCAAUGCCUGACCACCCUAACAGUGAAGAAACGUGAUGAUCCUUUUAGGUGCCUUCCAGCUCAGCUUAUUCUGUGUAAUCUGAAUCUCCCCCGUCUCAGUUGGAGGCCAUCUUCCCUGGUCCUGCCACUGCAGGCAAAGUUGCCAUCCCGAGUUACUUGGUGCUGCAAGUUAUAUACAUCACCUUGUGACACUUCUUAAGCCUUAGAAGUCGACUCCCUCUUUAGAAUCAUGAAAUAUCUCGGAUUGGAAGUGAUCUGUAAGGAUCAUUGAGUCCAACUCCAAGCUUCCCUCAGGACUACUCAAAACUACAGCUACAAGCCUUCAUGGGACUUUUUUUAAAUGGAUGUAUUUGGAUGAAGGGGCAAGUGUAAUGAUAUUUUUCUUGAUACUUCUUGAGCUGCUGCAAAUUCGUCUUUUUCUGAAAUCCCUGGUAUAAAUGACAAUAGGAUAGUCAGUCCUUCAUCCCUGUUGUGUGAAUGGUGUCAGGUUGGAUUCCCUGAAAAGUGCAUUUGCAUGUUCCCUAGUUUGAGCUAGUGUAAUAAUACAUAUUGUGAGAACGGUGACAGGGGGAGACGUUCCAGGCAGAUGUGUACCUGACUAGGAGCUCAGGUAUUCAGGCUGGGUUUGUCACUGGUUUGCAUGGCAUUGGGCAAGUAAUUUGAGCAAGGUUAUUCCUUCUCCAUCAGUAAAAUAAGAAGCUACUUCACAGAUGCGUCAGAGAAUCAAUUAGGGGUUUUUACAACAUUUGAAGGCUGCUAAACAUUAAUGCUUAUUAGGGUGAAAAGCCACAUAAAAUGUGACACAGUAUUUCAGUUAUUAAAAGAGAAGGUAUUGCUUAGACAGGAGAUACAAAUACCACCAAACCUUCCCUUUCACUCCUUAUUUCCUGCUUCUCUCUUCUACCUGAGCUUUUCCAAAGUGUUAUCCUAUUUCAGAAAUUAAUAGCAGCAGAGGAAUUUUCAGUCUUUCUGUCAUAGGACAGAGUGAUAAGAAAGCAGCUGUCCUGUAAUGAAGAACCUGGAAUGCUCCAGCUAUUCCAGUUCUUCCUCUUGUACUCUUACACAUAUAAAAUAAACAGUUACAGAGAGUGCUGUUUCCUCCUACCUCCAUAGCUGUCAUGCUACAUGUAUUGCUGAAGAGGUGGAAAGGUGGGCAGAAUUUGGAUAAGAACUUGAAUAUUGAUAUUGUUAUUUCCUGUGACUUAAAUUCUCUACUUUCAUCAUGUUUAUAUUUUGUUUUUAUUGAAUACAGCUGAUUCUGUUCAGAGACUGAUCAUCAUAAGGCAGUCAUUAAACAGCCAUCAUCACUGCUUUCAUAUUUAAUUUGGGGUCUAUGCUGUCCGUUUUUCCAUACUCAUGGUACAAAAUAGAAGCUUUUGUUUGUAUUGACCAUUUUGUUUGUAUUGAAUCACUGGACAGAGAUUAGAUCAGCAAUGCUAAGCAGCUUUUUAAAUAUUUCCCUUCAUUUUAGGAGUUCAACUGUUUUCAAGUGGUAUUUUUGGUUAAUGAAUUUUUUAUUAUUAUUGAUUCUUGAGAAAAUUUUUGUUACAUGAGAAAUUAUCACUCUCAAACUCCAAACUCUUCCAUGACCUUUUGUCCCUAAUGAUUUUGCUCCUGCAUGGUUUGAUAUCUUUUCAAACAAAUGUUUAAGCUGGAGAUGAGUUAAGCACAAAUAAAAGACUAUACUUAAAGAAAUUUUAUUUUAUCUUGAGAGUCAGUAUGUUUAUGAAUUUGAAAUUCAUUAAAAAAUUACUGCUGGAUCAGUA